rnacentral:rRNA from 1 species
GACGUAGGGCGCGAGCGUUGUCCGGAUUUAUUGGGCGUAAAGCGCGCGUAGGCGGUCUGCCAAGUCUGAUGUGAAAGCCCUGGGCUCAACCCAGGAAGUGCGUCAGAUACUGGUGGACUGGAGUGGCGGAGAGGAUGGCGGAAUUCCCGGUGUAGCGGUGAAAUGCGCAGAUAUCAGGAGGAACACCGGUGGCGAAGGCGGGUCUCUGGGCCGAUAUUGACGCUGAGGAGCGAAAGCGUGGGGAGCGAACAGG